GCACCUCUAGCUCAAUUGGCAGAGCAUCUGACUCUUAAUCAGCAGGUUCCGGGUUCAAGUCCCGGGGGGUGCAC
rnacentral:tRNA from 1 species